rnacentral:rRNA from 1 species
AGAGUUUGAUCCUGGCUCAGAACGAACGCUGGCGGCAGGCCUAAUACAUGCAAGUCGAGCGCGCCCUUUCGGGGUGAGCGGCGGACGGGUUAGUAACGCGUGGGAACGUGCCCUUCUCUAAGGAAUAGCCACUGGAAACGGUGAGUAAUACCUUAUACGCCCCCCAAUCAAAUUCCAUUUGGUUGACGGAAAUUCUGUUGAAUGCCGGAUGGCAUUUGAUGGGGGGGAAAGAUUUAUCGGAGAAGGAUCGGCCCGCGUUAGAUUAGAUAGUUGGUGGGGUAAUGGCUUACCAAGUCUACGAUCUAUAGCUGGUUUUAGAGGAUGAUCAGCAACACUGGGACUGAGACACGGCCCAGACUCCUACGGGAGGCAGCAGUAGGGAAUCUUGGACAAUGGGCGCAAGCCUGAUCCAGCCAUGCCGCGUGAGUGAAGAAGGCCUUAGGGUCGUAAAGCCCUUUCGCCUGUGAUGAUAAUGACAGUAGCAGGUAAAGAAACCCCGGCUAACUCCGUGCCAGCAGCCGCGGUAAUACGGAGGGGGUUAGCGUUGUUCGGAAUUACUGGGCGUAAAGCGCGCGUAGGCGGAUUGGAAAGUUAGAGGUGAAAUCCCGGGGCUCAACCCCGGAACGGCCUUUAAAACUCCCAGUCUAGAGUUCGAGAGAGGUGAGUGGAAUUCCAAGUGUAGAGGUGAAAUUCGUAGAUAUUUGGAGGAACACCAGUGGCGAAGGCGGCUCACUGGCUCGAUACUGACGCUGAGGUGCGAAAGUGUGGGGAGCAAACAGGAUUAGAUACCCUGGUAGUCCACACCGUAAACGAUGAAUGCCAGUCGUCGGAUAGUAUACUAUUCGGUGACACACCUAACGGAUUAAGCAUUCCGCCUGGGGAGUACGGUCGCAAGAUUAAAACUCAAAGGAAUUGACGG